CAGUGUCCUUGUGGUCCCCGUCACUGCAGCGUCCCCAUCCCUGUCCCCACGGUGUCCCCGUGCACCUGCCUCCGGGGACCCUGUGCAGAAACCCAGCCUGGAGUGCGAGGAGAGGGCGGCACGCGAGGCGGCUUCCCCGGGACACGCGCCUGACACGGCCCCGGCCUUGCACGCACAGCCCCGAGCACCCCCUGCACACGCAGCCCCCUCCGUGCCCCAUUUUCUCCCUGGGCAUGGGGUUUGCCCCUAAACCCCGUCCCCGCGCAGCAGCGGUUGUGGGGCUGGCGGGUUGUCCCGGCGGUUUUCGGGGUGUCGGGGUUGGGGUGCUUGCGAGGGGCCUGGCUCGCUGUCGGGCGGCACCGCCGCAAGCCCAGCCCUGCACGGGGGGGGGCACAGGUGUGUGUGCGUGUGCCUCCACCUGCGUGCACGUGGGGCUGCGCGUGGCCCCGCGGUGCGUGCGCACGGCCCCGUGUGCGUACCCGGGGGGCUGCGCGCCGCGCUGCCGGCACACCCUCGCGCUGCCACCGCUCUGCCCACGCUCAUUGACACAAACCCGGGGCUUGUUCUCCCCUCUCCCCGGCUCGGCUGGUUGUAAUAACGUUCUGGCUCCUCUCCAAGUAUUGGGGUUGCCGUAGAAACAGGAAAACUGCAGCGAUUUCGGGGCCCGGCUCCGCCGUCUCCCAUCGUAGGGUCCGGAGCAGGCAGGGGAGCGGGCAGGCAGCGACUCCCCGCGCCCCCCGUGCUGGUGGGGGGACAAUGCCUGCACCCCGCGGCCCCGUGUGCACACUCGGCCUUGCACACUUGGCUUUACACACCUGGCCUUGCACACUUGGCCUUGCACACCCAGCCCUGCCCAGGUGCCCGCGUGCACUCCUGGCUGUGGGCAAGUGGCCAGCCCUAGCCCCUGGAGUUUCUAUAGAAACCGCGAGGCGGUGGCUGGAAAUGCCUUCUCCAUCGAACGCAACAAAAAUAUACUCGUGCGUGCGAGUGUGUGCGUGUGCACGUGUGUGUCUAUGUGUGCACAGCCCGGGGAGCUACAGUCAGGGCUGGCUGCCCCGGGGGAUUUGUCCCCACUCGUUGGCGCGGUGGGGACCCGCUCGGGGACCAGGAGAUGGGAACUCACAGCCGAGGGAGCUGGGUGGGGGCUGCGUGGGGCUGUGCGUGGGUGCUGCUCCUGCACCCCAGGGCUGCGGGGUGCGGGACUGGGGCAGCCCCAGCGCCCCCGGGCUGGAUUUGCCCCUCAGAGGCAGAAGCGGGUCCUGUUGGUCCUGGCCUGGCACCAAGCAGCUGUUUUGGGUAUUUCCCUCCAGGGAGGAUCCGCCGCGGCGCUGCUCCAAGAUGCACAGGACCACCAGGAUAAAGAUCACCGAGCUCAACCCCCACCUGAUGUGCGCCUUGUGCGGCGGCUACUUCAUAGACGCCACCACCAUCGUGGAGUGCCUGCACUCCUUCUGCAAAACCUGCAUCGUCCGCUACCUGGAGACCAACAAGUACUGCCCCAUGUGUGAUGUCCAGGUGCACAAAACCAGGCCCCUCCUCAGCAUCAGGUCAGACAAAACCCUCCAGGAUAUCGUGUACAAACUGGUCCCGGGGCUUUUCAAAGACGAGAUGAAGAGGCGGCGUGACUUCUACGCAGCCUACCCCAUGGCCGAGGUUCCCAAUGGCUCCAACGAGGAUCGCGGGGAAGUCUCCGAGCAGGACAAGGGGAACCUGGCGGACGACGAGAUCGUCAGCCUGUCCAUAGAGUUUUACGAAGGAACGAGGGAGGAGAAGAAAGGGACCAUCGAGAACGGGGACCUGGAGAAGGAAAAGAAGAACGGGGUGCGAUUCCUGCGCUGUCCCGCCGCGAUGACGGUCAUGCACCUGGCCAAGUUCCUCCGCAACAAGAUGGAUGUUCCCAGCAAGUACAAGGUGGAAGUCCUCUACGAAGAUGAACCCCUGAGGGAGUAUUACACCCUGAUGGACAUCGCCUACAUCUACCCCUGGAGGAGGAACGGGCCCCUGCCGCUGAAAUACCGCGUCCAGCCCGCCUGCAAGCGGCUCAAGCUGUCCCAGCCGGCCACCUCCGAGUGCACCAACACCAGCGGCGCCUCCGAGUGCGAGUCUGUCAGCGACAAAGCCCACAGCCCCGCCACGCUGCCCGCCACCUCGUCCUCCCUGCCCAGCCCCGGCACGCCGUCCCACGGCUCGCCCAGCUCCAACGCCACCGCCGGCAGCGGCCCCGGCCCCGCGCUCAACGGCACCUCGAACUGCCACCCGCUGCCCCCGGCCGCCAGCCGGUGCCGCAAAACGACUGUCAAUGGCAGCACGGCCUCCGCCUUGACCUAAAAAGCAAAAAAAAACAAACAAAAAAAAAAACAGGGACGCCUGGCUGGGUUUUAUAUAUCUAUAUAUAUUAUAUAUAUACAUAUAUAAAUAUAUAUGUGUACAUAGGGAGAAAAAAUUAUACAUACUUAUUUUCUAUUGAUUGACCAGAUUAAUUUAAAAUGCAAAUAAGACACAUAAAUGUGGUUGAAUAUUUUAAAUUUUUUUUUUUUUUUUUUUUAAUUUUAACUUAUGGAAGCUGCAUGCCGGAGCUGGGAGCCACGCAGGCGCUGCCGCCUGCCCUGCUCAUUCUCUCUAAUGCUUUUCCCUCUCCUCCCCACCCCUCUCCCCUCGUGCCCGCUCAGAGAGAGACAGGGCGGUGAGCAGGGCCUGCCGGACGCACAGGUAAGGGCUAAGCACAGGUAAGGGCCAAGCACAGAAGCCAAAAACUCCCUCCACUGCCUCAGCCCCGCUCUCGGGCUCGGCGUGGGCUUUGCCGGUGCGAUGCGGUGCGGCUCCGCUGGGCUCUGGCAGCGGAGGGGGAGCUGCUCCGCGUCCGCGUGCCCCCAGCCCCGCUGUGUCCUUUUUUUUUGCUUUUCAGUGGGUUUUCUUUUUGCACCAGGCUCGAUAACGUGGUGCCCACAGCCAGCUGGUACCGAUGUCCGUUUGCUGGCACCAAGCAUCCCUUGCUGGUGUUGCCCACCCUGCUUUGCCUUGCCAUGCACGUUUCUGUUUCUUUUGUGCUUUCCCUGUGUGGUCUCUGGACGUUGUUUCAGGCUCUGAUCUAGCAAAGCCUUACACAGACGCCUCCCUUUCUGCACAGUAAGUAGUUUCUUUUUUUAUUCCUAGCUAAAAAAACUACACUUGUGCCCUGAUGGUGAAGGGCCAGCCAUACCGGGGAGGCGUAGGAGCACAAGCCCCAGUGAAUAUUGGAUUUUUCCUUGCCAAGGGAGUUGCCACCUCCCUGGGUGCGCCUGUGGCCGGGCAGCUGCGUGGUGGGGGCAGCACCCAGCCAGGGGGACACGGAGUCAGGAGCCGCCCGCACCCACGGGACCCCCGUGCCACUGGCCCCCUGGCAAACGUCCACAGCUUCGCCACAUUUCAGAGCUUUUUCCCCCUCUGUCCUUCCCACCCUUUCCUCCUGUCCCCACAUUGGAUUUUAAAAUAAAAAAUAAAAAAAUGACUACAGUGCCUUUAGCCAGGAGGCUUCGGUGAGGGGAAGCGUGGGAAGGCGCUGCUGUUUCGGGCAGGAGCAGCACCGGCACCGCCGGCUGCCCACGCGCUCUGGGGAGGGGACCAACUUCACAGUCACAAAAAAAGCACAGGAGCCCCGGGGAGCGCAGACCCUGGGGGUUUAUCUCCUCCCCUCGCUGGGGAGGGGGGGACGAGUGACAAAAACCAAGCAAGUGCCUGCAGCGCCCGGACAGCAGCCGGCAGCGGCACGGUGAGAACCAAAGGAAAGCGGCACGGGAAUUGUAUGGACAGCCCGACUCCAAAGAUGCAGGUGCUCAGCGGCGGCCCUCCGGCAGCGACCCUCCUGCUCCCCUCAGGCUGCCAAAGGCACCUUUGGCUCUGGGGCAGGUUGAGGCGAUUUGACGAGGAGGAGCACGCUUCAAGGGGACCGGGCGCCUUUGGAAGAGGUCGGAGAAAUGUGUAAGUGCUAUCUGAACGCCUCUUCCCCCGCUCGUCAGCUCCAGCCUCGUCCCCGCCUGUCCCGGAGAGCGGCUUCGUGCUCCAACCAGCGCCACAAGCGAACGCGGGGACGUGCCCAGCAGGAGCAGGGAACCAGGACCGCAGCGUAGCUCAGCCCACCCUGCUUUUAGCAGAGAUCCUGUCUACGAACGCAGUCCUCGAAUUCAGUCCUCGAUUUCCAACCUCUUCCUCCGGGUGGGCUCCCCGGGUGUCUUCCCAGCAGCAGCGCGGGGCCCGUACGGCGCGUUUCAGCCCCGACUGCGCGCUCACCUUCAUCAUGUACCUCUCGCUGACCCCCUGCCACCUUUCCGCUGUCGCCCAGGGAUUUGGGCGCCAUCCCACUGAUCUGAACAAGGUUUUCGUUUGUCCCAGGAGUCAACUUGCUCUGGGGACAGCCGUUAACCAGCCUCCCCUCCUCCAUCCCCUCUGCUCCUGCUCCCAGCUCGUUAAUUCCAGGGCGUGAAAUGUGGUUAAAUUUUGGAACAGUUUGACCAGGUCUGGACAGGACGUCAGGUCCGGGUGGUUACCGAGCAGUCUGAAGGCUGUGCUGCUGGUAAGCAUGACAGCACAACAGGUGGCAACUCAAACUUGGGAUGUUACAGAAAAAAAUAAAAAAGGAAAAAAAAAAGAAAAAAAAGAAAAAAAAGAAAUAGAACAACUCCAACCCAGACAAACCCAGCUGGGCAAGCAGCUGGCUGGCAGCUAUCACAUCUGCAGAUUUAACAGCCACUGCUGUACCCCUACCCUCCUGUCCGUCAUCCCGCUGACCCAGACCCGCACUCAUCAGUGGGCCCAGCUGCUCCUGAGUCCCACGGACCUGAUGCACAGAGGUUGGCAGGUCCGGCCCUCACCUGCGUGCAGCCGUCACACACAAACGGGGCACGUCAGGGCUGAAUUUAGCACGGCAGCCUCGGAAACGGCUGUGGCACCGACGCUCACAGAGGAGCGGGGGCACAGCACGGCUGUUUGGGGGGGGGGGGA